GACGAACGCUGGCGGCGUGCUUAACACAUGCAAGUCGAACGGAAAGGCCCUGCUUUUGUUGGGUGCUCGAGUGGCGAACGGGUGAGUAACACGUGAGUAACCUGCCCUUGACUUUGGGAUAACUUCAGGAAACUGGGGCUAAUACCCGAUAGGAGCUCCUGCUGCAUGGUGGGGGUUGGAAAGUUUCGGCGGUUGGGGAUGGACUCGCGGCUUAUGAGCUUGUUGGUGGGGUAGUGGCUUACCAAGGCUUUGACGGGUAGCCGGCCUGAGAGGGUGACCGGCGACAUUGGGACUGAGAUACGGACCAGACUGCAACGGGAGGCAGCGGUGGGGAAUAUUGCACAAUGGGCGGAAGCCUGAGGCGGAAACGCCGCGUGCGGGAUGACGGCCUUCGGGUUGUAAACCGCUUUCGCAUGUGACGAAGCGUGAGUGACGGUAAUGGGUAAGGAAGCACCGGCUAACUACGUG
rnacentral:rRNA from 1 species